rnacentral:lncRNA from 1 species
GAACUCACUUUAGCAACAGUAGCAAUGAAAUCCUAAUUUUAAUCCCUUUUUGGGUCAUAGAUUACUAAUUGCAAGUGCAUGCAGGGAGACAAUGUAGCAUCCUCAGUAAAAGGCAAUGGGCCGUAAGUCUCCCUCAUCCAGUAGAAGCUGUCAGUCCUAUCAUUCUGAGAUUCUGCAGACACAGAAAAUGCUAUUAAAUGAACAAUUUAUGCAAAUUCCUCAGAGUUGAAUGACAUUUGCAUAUGCCGUCUGUCAAAAAGUUCUGAUGGGAGAGAAUCUGAUAAUCUUCCUGCCUGAGUAAGGUAAGGGGACGUGGACAAGAGAGCUGAGAAUGAUCUUUUGAGCAACGGUCACGCGGAAGGCAUGGCUCCAUGAGUCUGCAACCUUCCCUUCUUGGUGGUUUUCUGGGGCCUGGUCUCACAUGACCAUCCAGUUAAAGAGUUAUCAUUAAAGGUUGU